rnacentral:rRNA from 1 species
AUACGUAGGGGGCGAGCGUUGUCCGGAAUGAUUGGGCGUAAAGGGCGCGUAGGCGGCUUUGCAAGUCAGUAGUGGAAGUCCAUUUUUCAAGGAUGGAAGUGCUACAGAAACUGCGGAGCUUGAGUGCAGGAGAGGUUAUCGGAAUUCCCGGUGUAGCGGUGAAAUGCGUAGAGAUCGGGAGGAACACCAGUGGCGAAGGCGGGUAACUGGACUGCAACUGACGCUGAGGCGCGAAAGUGUGGGGAGCAAACAGGAUUAGAUACCCUGGUAGUCCACACUGUAAACGAUGAAUGCUAGGUGUAGGGGGACUGACCCCCUCCGUGCCGCAGUUAACACAAUAAGUAUUCCACCUGGGGAGUACGAUCGCAAGAUUGAAACUCAAAUGAAUUGGCGGGG